rnacentral:rRNA from 1 species
UAAAGAUUCAUCGCUGAUAGAUAGGCAUGCGUUCCAUUAGGCAGUUGGCGGGGUAACGGCCCACCAAACCGACGAUGGAUAGGGGUUCUGAGAGGAAGGUCCCCCACAUUGGUACUGAGACACGGACCAAACUCCUACGGGAGGCAGCAGUGAGGAAUAUUGGUCAAUGGGCGUAAGCCUGAACCAGCCAAGUCGCGUGAGGGAUGAAGGUUCUAUGGAUCGUAAACCUCUUUUAUAAGGGAAUAAAGUGCGGGACGUGUCCCGUUUUGUAUGUACCUUAUGAAUAAGGAUCGGCUAACUCCGUGCCAGCAGCCGCGGUAAUACGGAGGAUCCGAGCGUUAUCCGGAUUUAUUGGGUUUAAAGGGUGCGUAGGCGGCCUUUUAAGUCAGCGGUGAAAGUCUGUGGCUCAACCAUAGAAUUGCCGUUGAAACUGGGAGGCUUGAGUAUGUUUGAGGCAGGCGGAAUGCGUGGUGUAGCGGUGAAAUGCUUAGAUAUCACGCAGAACCCCGAUUGCGAAGGCAGCCUGCCAAGCCAUGACUGACGCUGAUACACGAAAGCGUGGGGAUCAGACAGGAUUAGAUACCCUGGUAGUCCACGCAGUAAACGAUGAUCACUAGCUGUUUGCGAUACACAGUAA